rnacentral:tRNA from 1 species
GCCUUCGUGGUAUAGUGGUCAGCACGCUCGACGCGUAACUGAGAGGUCCGUGGUUCGAUUCCUGGCGAAGGCG